rnacentral:rRNA from 1 species
GAAGAACGCUGGCGGCGUGCCUAAUACAUGCAAGUCGAGCGAAUGGAUUAAGAGCUUGCUCUUAUGAAGUUAGGGGCGGACGGGUGAGUAACACGUGGGUAACCUGCCCAUAAGACUGGGAUAACUCCGGGAAACCGGGGCUAAUCCCGGAUAACAUUUUGAACCGCAUGGUUCGAAAUUGAAAGGCGGCUUCGGCUGUCACUUAUGGAUGUACCCGCGUCGCAUUAGCUAGUUGGUGAGGUAACGGCUCACCAAGGCAACGAUGCGUAGCCGACCUGAGAGGGUGAUCGGCCACACUGGGACUGAGACACGGCCCAGACUCCUAUGGGAGGCAGCAGUAGGGAAUCUUCCGCAAUGGACGAAAGUCUGACGGAGCAACGCCGCGUGAGUGAUGAAGGCUUUCGGGUCGUAAAACUCUGUUGUUAGGGAAGAACAAGUGCUAGUUGAAUAAGCUGGCACCUUGACGGUACCUAACCAGAAAGCCACGGCUAACUACGUGCCAGCCGCCGCAGUAA